GACGAACGCUGGCGGCGUGCUUAACACAUGCAAGUCGAGCGGUAAGGCCCUUCGAGGUACACGAGCGGCGAACGGGUGAGUAACACGUGAGCAAUCUGCCCAUCACUUUGGGAUAACUGCGGGAAACCGCAGCUAAUACCGAAUACGACCACCUCCGGCAUCGGAUGGUGGUGGAAAGUUCCGGCGGUGAUGGAUGAGCUCGCGGCCUAUCAGCUUGUUGGUGGGGUAAUGGCCUACCAAGGCAACGACGGGUAGCCGGCCUGAGAGGGUGACCGGCCACACUGGGACUGAGACACGGCCCAGACUCCUACGGGAGGCAGCAGUGGGGAAUAUUGGACAAUGGGCGAAAGCCUGAUCCAGCAACGCCGCGUGAGGGAUGACGGCCUUCGGGUUGUAAACCUCUUUCAGCAGGGACGAAGCGCAAGUGACGGUACCUGCAGAAGAGGCACCGGCCAACUACGUGCCAGCAGCCGCGGUAA
rnacentral:rRNA from 1 species